ensembl:processed_transcript
CUGUGUAUUAUGCUGUCUCAGAGGAGAGAGUGAGACUUGCCUGGGAAGGAAGCCACCUCGGAUUCCUAGCUAGAAGCCAAAGUGAAGGUCGGAGACGGAGAAUAACUGGGAGCUGAAACAGGAAGCCCCAUGACACAGUUGAUCGAAAAUGACACAGACACAAAAAAAUCAGGACAUGCCCCCAGCAGCACCCCUACCUGCUGCCUGCUGAUCACGGCUGGGAGGCCCGUCCAGGGUUCCCGCCCGGGAAUGGACUCUUAACUACUCAGUGCUCACAGGUGCUGGGCCUGCAGAGCUUGUGGAUGCUCUCUUACAGCUGGUUUGUUAUCUUUUAAUCAAUCAACUAAUUAAUCUAUUACUUUAUUUAUUGGCCCUCCCUCAUGUCUUGAUCCUUUCUUCAUUAAAAGCAAAAGGAAAGAAA